rnacentral:lncRNA from 1 species
CCUUUUCCACUUAUGUGCAAUAUUUUUAAUUCUAGAAGUAGAUCCCAAUGAGCACAUUCCAUCGGUUCUUCUUUAAUUCUAUCCUCUUCUUGCACACAUUGAGCUAUAAGCUCAUUCGAAGUCUGAUACUUAAAGUUAAUGUAAUUAGACACAUAAAUAUUAUUCGUAUUGGUAGAUGUAGAAGACAUUAUAAGAUAAAAUAAAUAAUAUUCACAAUUAAUGAUAAAAUAAAUAAUGUUCACAAUUAAUCAUUCAAAUAGAUCACGUAUAUGUGGAGGUAAUUAAAUCAAAUAAAUUUAAAAAAUUGAUAAAUAAAUAAAAAACUAUAUUUAUUACACACAUAUCACAGAGGCGAACCCAGGAUUAAAUGACGACGGGUGCACUACUAGAGAUGGAUGUGCGUUAGUAUAGUGGUGCCACGCCACGCGUUAAUGCUUUUGUAAAAAAAAAAAUUAGUGUUAAACUAAUGUAAAGCCAAACUUAUCCAAAUAAAUAUUGGUUAAACGGAAGUAUGGCAUAGGUUGCUGUGUGGUUAGAUGAUUUUAAUUCUUUUGUGUACAUUUUGGGAUUGAGAUUGCAAGUUCGAUCUAACUUGAGUGUUUAUUAAGCAUUUAUUUUGAAAAAAUAACAACAAAAAUCAUCAAAUGGAAAUCGAACCUGGGACGCCUCUCACUAGCAAAGAAGCACAAGGCUAAGCUUUAGACCAAUGAGCCAAAGCAACGCUUGUGUUUAAGGGUGCACAAUUUAAUAUAUUUUAUCUUUAUUCAGGUAUAUACAUGUACAUAUACGUAAAUUUUUUCAAAGUUAUCGGGUGCACGUGCACUCCCACCUUCAAAUAUAGGUCCGUCUCUAUAUAUACAUAAAAGUGAACUCAUCUCAAGAUACCUAACACAAUGUUAUCAUUUAGUCUUUGGACAAAAUAAUAACUUGUAAAUUGUACUCUUAUACAUAAUUCAUGAACACUGAUUACUAAAACAACCUAACAAUAUGCCUUUCUUUGAACUGACAUAUUAUCGGCAUAUAUUACAAAUGUAUCACAUAUUCAUAACUAUCCGUAAUCUGACCAAAAUAAUCUCGUUGUAGAUAAUUAUUUCGCAUAGAUAAAAAUAUACUUACAUGUUCAAAGUAAACAAAAUCUACACAAUAGAGAUUAAUUUGGCAACAUAUUGAUUCUAUAUACUCUCUUUUAAACAAGAAGCACAAACAAUAACAAUUAAAAAAAAAAUUCAACGCCAAAAAUUCUUAUAGAAAAUCUUAUUUCCUCAACUUGUCCAAAAAGUAGAGAAACUAAUGACGUCCCAAAGUUUGCAGAAGAUAGAACUAUUACUCAAAACAAAGGAAAAAAUUCUUGAAUUUUUCUCUUCUUUCCAACACAUAGAGUAGUAUUAAAUAUACCAAAAAAGGAGAUCAAAGAAUAUUAAGUUUCAGCAACACUUUGUUUCAAAAAUAUAUAUAUGUUUUUUGUUUCAGAAAAUGCUCAUAACUUGCACCAAAAAUUUCUGCAAAAAAAAUAUAUAAAUAUAAUACACUAAAAGUUCAAUAGUCAUUAAAGGAAAAAAAAAAAGCAACCAAGAUGAAUGAUAGAUUUUCAAUAACCCAUCUACUACUACACUGAAUUAAUGUAAAAACUUUUAUAUUUGAAAAAGGACAAGGAAAAAUAUACUUCAUCUUUUACUAAUUAACAAGAUAAAAUAUCUUCAUCUUUUACUAAUUAUAUACUUCUUUUAGAAAAGUUGUAAACAACAAAAAAUAAAAAUAAAAAAUUCAAGUACAUGUCAAAACGCGCUGGUAGUAACCAAACGAAAAAACCAGCCCAAUCAAAGUAUCGUUUUGUGGCAAAAAAAAUAUAUAUUUCAAAAAAUUAAACAUCAUAUCUAAUGAUCUAACAAGACCUUGCCCUUGAUACCACUUGAUAGAAAACUUGAAACAAAAAUUCAUUCAAGAUCACAAGUUUGAUAGAAAACUUGAAACAAAAAUUCAUUCAAGAUCACAAGUAAAUCAUUUAGAGUGUAAUUUAAUAAUCUACAACAAUGAUUAGAAUAUUAACCUUUGUCCAUAGUAAUAACUUUGAAGAAGACAAGACCUUCUAAAUGUUGAAGAUACUCUUUCUGGUGUUCUUUAUUUGAGAUGGAGAGAAAAAAAAAA